rnacentral:rRNA from 1 species
AUUGAACGCUGGCGGCAGGCUUAACACAUGCAAGUCGAGCGGAGAUGAGGUGCUUGCACCUUAUCUUAGCGGCGGACGGGUGAGUAAUGCUUAGGAAUCUGCCAUUUAGUGGGGGACAACAUUCCGAAAGGAAUGCUAAUACCGCAUACGUCCUACGGGAGAAAGCAGGGGAUCUUCGGACCUUGCGCUAAAUGAUGAGCCUAAGUCGGAUUAGCUAGUUGGUGGGGUAAAGGCCUACCAAGGCGACGAUCUGUAGCGGGUCUGAGAGGAUGAUCCGCCACACUGGGACUGAGACACGGCCCAGACUCCUACGGGAGACAGCAGUGGGGAAUAUUGGACAAUGGGCUGAAGCCUGAUCCAGCCAUGCCGCGUGUGUGAAGAAGGCCUUUUGGUUGUAAAGCACUUUAAGCGAGGAGGAGGCUACUAGUACUAAUACUACUGGAUAGUGGACGUUACUCGCAGAAUAAGCACCGGCUAACUCUGCGCCAGCCGCCGCCGUAAGAC